GACAGCAGCCGCCACGGUAAUACGGAGGGUGCAAGCGUUAAUCGGAAUUACUGGGCGUAAAGCGUGCGUAGGCGGUUUGUUAAGUCUGUUGUGAAAUCCCCGGGCUCAACCUGGGAAUGGCAAUGGAUACUGGCAAGCUAGGGUGUGUCAGAGGAUGGUGGAAUUCCCGGUGUAGCGGUGAAAUGCGUAGAGAUCGGGAGGAACAUCAGUGGCGAAGGCGGCCAUCUGGGACAACACUGACGCUGAGGCACGAAAGCGUGGGGAGCAAACAGGAUUAGAACCCCAGUAGUCCCUGUCUCUUAUACA
rnacentral:rRNA from 1 species